rnacentral:rRNA from 1 species
GACGUAGGGGGCCAGCGUUGUUCGGAAUUACUGGGUGUAAAGGGUCAGUAGGCGGUGUGGCAAGUUGGGAGUGAAAUCUAUGGGCUCAACCCAUAGGCUGCUUCCAAAACUGCUGUGCUAGAGUGUGGGAGAGGCGCGUGGAAUUGCAGGUGUAGCGGUGAAAUGCGUAGAUAUCUGCAGGAACACCCGUGGCGAAAGCGGCGCGCUGGACCACAACUGACGCUGAAUGACGAAAGCUAGGGGAGCAAACAGG